rnacentral:rRNA from 1 species
GUGCUACAAUGGAUGGUACAACGGGCUGCAAUAUCGCGAGAUGGAGCAAAUCCUUAAAACCAUUCUAAGUUCGGAUUGGAGUCUGCAACUCGACUCCAUGAAGCUGGAAUCGCUAGUAAUCGCGGAUCAGCACGCCGCGGUGAAUACGUUCCCGGGCCUUGUACACACCGCCCGUCACACCACGAAAGUGGGUUAUACCAGAAGCCGGUACACUAACCCCGCUCUUCAGAAUGUUUCAAAAUCAAGGCAACGCCGAGAUUGGAACAUUAUGAUGAGCGGGGAGGUAGCCGUUCAAGGUAUGGCUCAUGAUUGGGGUGAAGUCGUAACAAGGUAGCCGUAUCGGAAGGUGCGGCUGGAUCACCUCCUUU